UGGGGAAUAUUGCACAAUGGGCGAAAGCCUGAUGCAGCGACGCCGCGUGCGGGAUGAAGGCCUUCGGGUUGUAAACCGCUUUUAAUUGGGAGCAAGCGAGAGUGAGUGUACCUUUUGAAUAAGCACCGGCUAACUACGUGCCAGCAGCCGCGGUAAUACGUAGGGUGCAAGCGUUAUCCGGAAUUAUUGGGCGUAAAGAGCUCGUAGGCGGUUUGUCACGCCUGGUGUGAAAGUCCAUCGCUUAACGGUGGAUCUGCGCCGGGUACGGGCAGGCUAGAGUGCAGUAGGGGAGAUUGGAAUUCCCGGUGUAACGGUGGAAUGUGUAGAUAUCGGGAAGAACACCAAUGGCGAAGGCAGAUCUCUGGGCUGUUACUGACGCUGAGGAGCGAAAGCAUGGGGAGCGAACAGGAUUAGAUACCCUGGUAGUCCAUGCCGUAAACGGUGGAUGCUGGAUGUGGGGCCCUUCCACGGGCUCCGUGUCGGAGCUAACGCGUUAAGGCAUCCCGCCUGGGGA
rnacentral:rRNA from 1 species